rnacentral:rRNA from 1 species
AUGGGAACGCGAAGAACCUUACCUAGACUUGACAUCUCCUGAAUAGUGUAGAGAUACAUGAAGCCCUUCGGGGCAGGAAGACAGGUGGUGCAUGGUUGUCGUCAGCUCGUGUCGUGAGAUGUUGGGUUAAGUCCCGCAACGAGCGCAACCCUUAUUACUAGUUGCUACCAUUAAGUUGAGCACUCUAGUGAGACUGCCCGGGUUAACCGGGAGGAAGGCGGGGAUGACGUCAAAUCAUCAUGCCCCUCAUGUCUAGGGCAACACACGUGCUACAAUGGUGAGUACAGAUAGAUGCGAUACCGCAAGGUGGAGCCAAACUCUAAAACUCAUCCCAGUUCGGAUUGUAGGCUGCAACUCGCCUACAUGAAGUUGGAGUUGCUAGUAAUCGCGAAUCAGAAUGUCGCGGUGAAUACGUUCCCGGGUC